rnacentral:rRNA from 1 species
GAUGAACGCUGGCGGCGUGCCUAAUACAUGCAAGUCGAACGAAACUUCUUUAUCACCGAGUGCUUGCACUCACCGAUAAAGAGUUGAGUGGCGAACGGGUGAGUAACACGUGGGCAACCUGCCCAAAAGAGGGGGAUAACACUUGGAAACAGGUGCUAAUACCGCAUAACCAUAGUUACCGCAUGGUAACUAUGUAAAAGGUGGCUAUACUACCGCUUUUGGAUGGGUCCGCGGCGCAUUAGCUAGUUGGUAGGGUAAAGGCUUACCAAGGCAAUGAUGCGUAGCCGAAUUGAGAGGUUGAUCGGCCACAUUGGGACUGAGACACGGCCCAGACUCCUACGGGAGGCAGCAGUAGGGAAUCUUCCACAAUGGGCGAAAGCCUGAUGGAGCAACGCCGCGUGGGUGAAGAAGGUCUUCGGAUCGUAAAACCCUGUUGUUGGAGAAGAAAGUGCGUGGGAGUAACUGUUCACGUUUCGACGGUAUCUAACCAGAAAGCCACGGCUAACUACGUG